ACGCUCGACACCUACGGAGGCAGCAGUGGGGAAUAUUGCACAAUGGGGGAAACCCUGAUGCAGCGACGCCGCGUGAGUGAAGAAGUAUUUCGGUAUGUAAAGCUCUAUCAGCAGGGAAGAGGAUGACGGUACCUGAGUAAGAAGCCCCGGCUAACUACGUGCUAGCAGCCGCGGUAAUCUGAGCGGGCUGGCAAGGC
rnacentral:rRNA from 1 species